CUUGAACCCAGGAGGCAGAGGUUGCAGUGAGCCGAGAUCACACCAUUGCACUCCACCCUGGGCAUUGCAGCGAGACUCUGUCUCAAAACAAAACAAACAAACAAAAAAGCCCUGUUGAGGUUUAUAUUUAAUUGGAGGGCUAAAUGUGGUCCUGGAGAAUAUAUUUUGUCCCCUUUUAGGAAAUAUUUGCUAUAUCACUUGAGAGUUUUCAUACUCCAAGCUCUGGGUG
rnacentral:lncRNA from 1 species